GGGGAGCAAACCGGAUUAGAUACCCGGGUAGUCCCAGCCGUAAACGAUGCGCGUUAGGUGUAUCGGUGACCACGAGUCACCGAGGUGCCGAAGAGAAAUCGUGAAACGUGCCGCCUGGGAAGUACGGUCGCAAGGCUGAAACUUAAAGGAAUUGGCGGGGGAGCACCACAACAGGUGGAGCCUGCGGUUUAAUCGGACUCAACGCCGGAAAUCUCACCGGAUAAGACAGCUGGAUGAUAGUCGGGCUGAAGACUCUACUUGACUAGCUGAGAGGAGGUGCAUGGCCGUCGUCAGUUCGUACUGUGAAGCAUCCUGUUAAGUCAGGCAACGAGCGAGACCCACGCCAACAGUUGCCAGCUCGUCCUCCGGGAUGGUGGGGACACUGUUGGGACCGCCUCUGCUAAAGAGGAGGAAGGAAUGGGCAACGGU
rnacentral:rRNA from 1 species